UUGCAUAAGCAGCCAAAACCUCAACCUUAUUUUAGCUCUUAUUGCAUUGUGGAUACAAUUAACAGGUGUUACAAGCAUACUUUAUGCUACAUGACCCUAAGGAUAUAAACACCUCAGGUUACAUGAGGAAAAAAAGAACGUAUGAGAAAAAUAUUCGGCCACAUUACUUACUUGAGAAAAGGAAUAUGGUUGAUACAGUAAAUUUACACUAAAAAUUUUAGACACAUUUUGCUGAUUUCACUGUGAGGUCCACCUCUAUUCUAUACACCUCCAAAGCAUAAGACCAUCUCCCAAACUCAGUGGAUCAUGUUUAUGAGAUUCCCCUCCAAAAGCACAUCCUCGGCAACCAAGAAAAGACUCACGGAGCUCACCUAGAAGCCUGGUAUAUUAUGUGAAAUUUUAGUGCUGGCAGAAUUUCCUAGAGUUCAAUGUUUACUUGUGGGACAAAAAAAUAAUGGUUCUAGAAGUUACAAGUUUCGACUUGAACUUUAAAUUUGAAUGUAUUUUUGAAAUAUGUGUCCAUCUUCUGUACUUUAAAUCUGUAAUCAUAUUAAUGUCAUUUUUCUCACGUUCUUUCUUAAAACUUGUGAAGUUAAUGUAAUUUGUAUACUAACAUAAAGUACAUAUAUACAUUUCCUCUAAAUUUCUGAUAGCCGCCAAAAGGAAAAUGUCAUAAUGAUGUAGAAACUGACUUCUAUCAUGUAAGAUAAAUCAUAAUAUUUCCAACAAUUAUCCUAACAAUAGUUAUGGUAGUCUUGUGAAAAAUGACACUGAUUUGAUUCUUUUGAUCUAGAUUUGCAUGUGCUGUCUUUAUGUAAUCAAGUAAUAUUCUAGUCUUUUUUUUUUUGAGCCAGCAAUGAAGGCAAGAAAUUUAAAGGAAUACAUAUAUGAAAUGUUAAAAAUUAUUAUCUUUAUGACUCAGUUGGUGAAACAAAAAUUUAAAAAAUAUGUCUGCUUAUGUUUCUUACUCCUCUCAUUUCCGUAUUUGGGAUAUAUUUGUAGAGAAAUGUUUUAAUUCUGAAGGUUCCUAAAAAUCGUGAAUCUAUAGAGUCAAUACAUUAAAAAUUACUUGAAGUCCUGGUGAAUUGAAAGG